rnacentral:rRNA from 1 species
UACUCCUACGGGAGGCAGCAGUGGGGAAUAUUGCACAAUGGGCGAAAGCCUGAUGCAGCAACGCCGCGUGAGGGAUGACGGCCUUCGGGUUGUAAACCUCUUUUAGUAGGGAAGAAGCGAAAGUGACGGUACCUGCAGAAAAAGCACCGGCUAACUACGUGCCAGCAGCCGCGGUAAU